CAAAAGAUUGUUUUAUUAUUUCAACGCUGGAGAAAUUGAGAAAGUCUGUCAAUCGGUUGCCGAUCUGACAUCGCGAAUUGGGAAUGAGGUAUUCUGUAAUCUACUGUGUGUGCUUCUAACUCUGCUGUUGGGCUAUGCGCCGUCGGUCUGGAAAGUCGUCAAAGAGAAAUGGUCAGCCGCCGUGUCAAUGUUCCAAGAAUGGAGAGCUCGUCCUUCCCUCUGCCGUCACUGCGGUACUGCCCCGUGUGAGGUCAAAAGGAGGUCCUUGUGGAAGCCCUCCGGUACUCGAAAGAAAGACAAGGCGAAUUUCGCAAAAAGGUCAAAUGCCAUGAUGUUGUUUUACUAUGGACUAGAUUUGUCCGUGGUACUGACCAAAGAGCUGCCAUGGAAUGACCUGUACUUGAAGAGGAAAAUCGUCCAGCAUUUUGAGGAGGAGCAUAUGGUAUUGUUCCCUGUGUGCAUCCAGCGUCAUAUCAACUACUGGUACCCUGUCCCUCGCUAGAGUCGUUGCGUCGUUCAAAGAGAAGAAUGUGGAAGGCAGUCGGUGAUGGUAUAGAAGUGCGAUUGACGUCACAGCCUCGAUUUGGCUGUCGUAGGGGUUUUGUCCUGAUAAGUUCCAAAAGGAAUGGUUUUUGACCAGUGAUACCGUGUAAUUAUAUUGUUUCUUUUAUUAAUUAAAAUGUUCAGGUGUAGCUUUGUGGAUGUAGAUGGUUAGUGAGCUUAGGAAGAACUUUUGAACAGUAGUGUUGUCCAGCAGUGGUUAAAUUCAUAAAUUUUCGUUUUUUAUUAGAUUGGUCAGUUGCAAACAUGUUUCAAUUGAAUUACCAACAUGCACAGUUCUGCCCAUUUUGUACUGGUCAGUUUUGCUUUUGUGUGCUUUGUGUAGUAACAAUCAUGUAAUCAAUGAAAUAUAG
rnacentral:lncRNA from 1 species